CCCAGCUCUCCUUAGUCUAUGAGAAUGCCAGAGGCCACAUCUGGGGCGGAGACCCUUCUAUCUCUUCUGAGUAGCAGCAUGCUACCCACAGAAGGCUGGGAUCCCAGCCUCAGACUCCAGCUUCUCACACCAGACCAGGGUCGCUGCCCACUACACCCAUUUGGGGGGCCACUGCAGUAGAACGCUGUGUCUGACUUGGUCCCUGGGUGUGGUUGCUGCAUCUUGCUCAUCUCCCCAUGGCUAAUGCUUAACACAAAUCCUGGACUGUGACUUGAAAACGGACACCUUCUUCCUAAUAUAAUCCAGCCCACGAAAUAUUCCUCUGAGUCAGCAAUCUCUUGACCGAGGGGAACAUGCUACAGAUCCUGGGAAAGAGAGUGAAGGAAAUUAGCAAAUGGCAGCUUCCUGCACUUUGCCACAAACAAUAACAAAACCCGUCAAAGGAGCAGAAUAUGGCAGUCAAUAUGGAUUUUCUCAUUCCUGUCAAUCAAAGGGCUUUCAAACACAGGAGAUGCUCCCACUCUGUGCUCACUGUUGGUUUGGGUAGAAGGCCAGGGGGUCUCUCUAAAGAUGUUAAGCAUUUAACACAUGGUGCAGGAGGCCCUGCCUGUGUGCUUGCUAGGAGAGGGCCUAUCUCUCUCAAAUGUGUAGGAUCACUAGGAAUUUGCACAAGAACUUUUGUCUGCUGUGUUUGCUAAGGCACAGCACAAUACUGAUGAGGCAGUAGAUAAUUUACGGGGUUUUUUAAAAAAACAAAUUCUUCUGAGUAGAGUAUAAAUUAUAGUAGUUUAACGUGUCCAUAAUAUAGAACACGCUGCAUGUGUGGAGAAGAGGAGUAAGUUAGGGAAAAUAGAAACUGCUUUAUUAAGACGGAAUUUCACUGUAUUUUACAGCAUAAUACUAAUUCCCAACAACCAGGAUAGAUUCUUUUCAUAGUGAACAAAGUUCAUAAGAAAACUAUGUGAAUAUUCUCUGGAGACCCUAAAGACAGAGAGAAAUUGAAUAAAAAUAAAUCAGCUUGAAAAUCCAUGAAUGUUUCUGCAGAGUAUCAGGACAUCAGCAGUUGGGAAACUAACGCAUUCAAAUUAUUAUUACUACUUUGUAUUAGAGCAGCUAUUUAAUUGUCACCAAUGAGAGGAAAGUGGUGUAUU